rnacentral:lncRNA from 1 species
CGACGUGCUGAACGCAUUGGCGUGAUCCGAUCGGAAAUCCGAUGGACGGAUCUUUGGGAAUUGCAAUAAGUUCGGUAAGGGGUCGAGAGUGGAAAAUCGGGAAAUUCGCAAAAGUCGUAAUAUUUUAUGUACCGAAUCGCGCGAGAGCGAUUGUGGAGGUGCAAAAGCGCGAGAGUUACCCAUUGUGCAGGACUAGGGUUGAAAUUUGUAGUUCA